rnacentral:rRNA from 1 species
GACGAACGCUGGCGGCGUGCUUAACACAUGCAAGUCGAACGGAAAGGCCCUGCUUGCAGGGUACUCGAGUGGCGAACGGGUGAGUAACACGUGGGUGAUCUGCCCUGCACUUCGGGAUAAGCCUGGGAAACUGGGUCUAAUACCGGAUAGGAGCCAUUUAGUGUGAUGGUUGGAAAGUUUUUUCGGUGUAGGAUGAGCUCGCGGCCUAUCAGCUUGUUGGUGGGGUAAUGGCCUACCAAGGCGGCGACGGGUAGCCGGCCUGAGAGGGUGGACGGCCACAUUGGGACUGAGAUACGGCCCAGACUCCUACGGGAGGCAGCAGUGGGGAAUAUUGCACAAUGGGCGCAAGCCUGAUGCAGCGACGCCGCGUGGGGGAUGACGGCCUUCGGGUUGUAAACUCCUUUCGCUAGGGACGAAGCUUUUUGUGACGGUACCUAGAUAAGAAGCACCGGCUAACUACGUG